rnacentral:rRNA from 1 species
GUGACUGCGUACCUUUUGUAUAAUGGGUCAGCGACUUAUAUUCUGUAGCAAGGUUAACCGAAUAGGGGAGCCGAAGGGAAACCGAGUCUUAACUGGGCGUUAAGUUGCAGGGUAUAGACCCGAAACCCGGUGAUCUAGCCAUGGGCAGGUUGAAGGUUGGGUAACACUAACUGGAGGACCGAACCGACUAAUGUUGAAAAAUUAGCGGAUGACUUGUGGCUGGGGGUGAAAGGCCAAUCAAACCGGGAGAUAGCUGGUUCUCCCCGAAAGCUAUUUAGGUAGCGCCUCGUGAAUUCAUCUCCGGGGGUAGAGCACUGUUUCGGCAAGGGGGUCAUCCCGACUUACCAACCCGAUGCAAACUGCGAAUACCGGAGAAUGUUAUCACGGGAGACACACGGCGGGUGCUAACGUCCGUCGUGAAGAGGGAAACAACCCAGACCGCCAGCUAAGGUCCCAAAGUCAUGGUUAAGUGGGAAACGAUGUGGGAAGGCCCAGACAGCCAGGAUGUUGGCUUAGAAGCAGCCAUCAUUUAAAGAAAGCGUAAUAGCUCACUGGUCGAGUCGGCCUGCGCGGAAGAUGUAACGGGGCUAAACCAUGCACCGAAGCUGCGGCAGCGACACUGUGUGUUGUUGGGUAGGGGAGCGUUCUGUAAGCCUGUGAAGGUGUACUGUAAGGUAUGCUGGAGGUAUCAGAAGUGCGAAUGCUGACAUAAGUAACGAUAAAGCGGGUGAAAAGCCCGCUCGCCGGAAGACCAAGGGUUCCUGUCCAACGUUAAUCGGGGCAGGGUGAGUCGACCCCUAAGGCGAGGCCGAAAGGCGUAGUCGAUGGGAAACAGGUUAAUAUUCCUGUACUUGGUGUUACUGCGAAGGGGGGACGGAGAAGGCUAUGUUGGCCGGGCGACGGUUGUCCCGGUUUAAGCGUGUAGGCUGGUUUUCCAGGCAAAUCCGGAAAAUCAAGGCUGAGGCGUGAUGACGAGGCACUACGGUGCUGAAGCAACAAAUGCCCUGCUUCCAGGAAAAGCCUCUAAGCAUCAGGUAACAUCAAAUCGUACCCCAAACCGACACAGGUGGUCAGGUAGAGAAUACCAAGGCGCUUGAGAGAACUCGGGUGAAGGAACUAGGCAAAAUGGUGCCGUAACUUCGGGAGAAGGCACGCUGAUAUGUAGGUGAAGUCCCUCGCGGAUGGAGCUGAAAUCAGUCGAAGAUACCAGCUGGCUGCAACUGUUUAUUAAAAACACAGCACUGUGCAAACACGAAAGUGGACGUAUACGGUGUGACGCCUGCCCGGUGCCGGAAGGUUAAUUGAUGGGGUCAGCGCAAGCGAAGCUCUUGAUCGAAGCCCCGGUAAACGGCGGCCGUAACUAUAACGGUCCUAAGGUAGCGAAAUUCCUUGUCGGGUAAGUUCCGACCUGCACGAAUGGCGUAAUGAUGGCCAGGCUGUCUCCACCCGAGACUCAGUGAAAUUGAACUCGCUGUGAAGAUGCAGUGUACCCGCGGCAAGACGGAAAGACCCCGUGAACCUUUACUAUAGCUUGACACUGAACAUUGAGCCUUGAUGUGUAGGAUAGGUGGGAGGCUUUGAAGUGUGGACGCCAGUCUGCAUGGAGCCGACCUUGAAAUACCACCCUUUAAUGUUUGAUGUUCUAACGUGGACCCGUGAUCCGGGUUGCGGACAGUGUCUGGUGGGUAGUUUGACUGGGGCGGUCUCCUCCUAAAGAGUAACGGAGGAGCACGAAGGUUGGCUAAUCCUGGUCGGACAUCAGGAGGUUAGUGCAAUGGCAUAAGCCAGCUUGACUGCGAGCGUGACGGCGCGAGCAGGUGCGAAAGCAGGUCAUAGUGAUCCGGUGGUUCUGAAUGGAAGGGCCAUCGCUCAACGGAUAAAAGGUACUCCGGGGAUAACAGGCUGAUACCGCCCAAGAGUUCAUAUCGACGGCGGUGUUUGGCACCUCGAUGUCGGCUCAUCACAUCCUGGGGCUGAAGUAGGUCCCAAGGG